CCUGAGAAACCUAAAAGUUCGAAAAGAGAGAUUCAACGUCAGCAUGUACAGUAUUGACGUGAGUAGUGAUGUCAGUUUUAUUGAUUGGGUCAAACUAAACAAUUAUGACUGACACAUUUUCAUGUUAUUUUUAUUGCUGUAUUACUGUCGGCGUGCACUUCUCUCUUAGUAGGACGUCCCGACCCGUUGAGUCUUAGCCUACGGCCCAAAUGGAUGCCUUUAAUAUUUUUAUAUUAAAAUCCUUUGGUGUCUCCUGGCCUAAGUGCUCGACGGUAAAAAAUGAUUUGGUAUUAAGCCGCAAUUUAUUGUGCGUCCGGCCUGCCGCAAGUUUAUUGACAAUUUCUGUACACAUAGACUAUGUCCUAAGUGUAUGGUGUUGUUUGCUGUUUGCAUGACAGUGCUCUUGGACUGGCUUAGUAUAUACCUGUCAGGGACGCUUAGGCUUUGGGUACUCUCAGGACCCGUCUUGAAACACGGACCAAGGAGUCUAACAUGUACGCGAGUCAUUGGGUAUAUAUUUUCUUUCGGGAAUUUAUAUAAAACAAACCUAAAGGCGAAAUGAAAGUAAAAGCUGGA
rnacentral:rRNA from 1 species